ACGUGGGUAACCUACCCUCCAGCGGGGAUAACGUCUCGAAAGGGGCGCUAAUACCGCAUAAGACCACAGAGUCUCCGGAUUCAGGGGUCAAAGGGGGUCGUCUUCGGGCGGCACUCACUGGAGGACGGGCCCGCGGAUUAGCUUGUUGGGGGGGUAACGGCCCACCAAGGCUACGAUGGGUAGCUGGUUUGAGAGAAUGAUCAGCCACACUGGAACUGAGACACGGUCCAGACUCCUACGGGAGGCAGCAGUGGGGAAUUUUGCGCAAUGGGGGAAACCCUGACGCAGCGACGCCGCGUGGGUGAGGAAGGCCUUCGGGUCGUAAAGCCCUGUCAGAGGGAAAGAACAGUUUGGAGUGAAAGCUUCAGAUUUGACGGUACCCUCAAAGGAAGCACUGGCUAACUCCGUGCCAGCAGCCGCGGUAAUACGGGGAGUGCAAGCGUUGUUCGGAAUUAUUGGGCGUAAAGCGCACGUAGGCGGUUACCAAGUCUGGAGUGAAAUCCCUCGGCCCAACCGAGGACGUGCUUCGGAAACUGCGUUGACUUGAAUCCUGGAGGGGCAGGUGGAAUUCCCAGUGUAGAGGUGAAAUUCGUAGAUAUUGGGAGGAACAUCGGUGGCGAAGGGGCCUGCUGGACAGUGAUUGACGCUGAGGUGCGAAAGGUGGGGAGCAAACAGGAUUAGAUACCCUGGUAGUCCACGCCGUAAACGAUGUCAACUAGCCGUAGAGUCCUUGAGGCUUUUGUGGCGCAGUAACGCACUAAGUUGACCGCCUGGGGAGUACGGCCGCAAGUUAAAACUCAAAUGAAUUGACGGGGGCCCGCACAAGCGUGGAGCAUGUGGUUUAAUUCGAUGCAAC
rnacentral:rRNA from 1 species